GAUGAAGAACGCAGCGAAAUGUGAUACUUGGUGUGAAUUGCAGAAUCCCGUGAACCAUCGAGUCUUUGAACGCAAGUUGCGCCCGAAGCCAUCAGGUUGAGGGCACGUCUGCCUGGGCGUCACAUAUCGUUGCCCAAUGCCUAUUGCAGUGCAAUAGGAAUUUCUAGGGCGAAUGAUGGCUUCCCGUGAGCGUUGUUGCCUCGCGGUUGGUUGAAAAUCGAGUCCUUGGUAGGGUGUGCCAUGGUAGAUGGUGGUCGAGUUAGAACGAUACCGAUCAUGUGCAUGCUCCCCAAAAUAUGGCCUCUAUGACCCACACGCGUCUUUUGACGCUCAUGACGAGACCUCAGGUCAGGCGGGGCUACCCGCUGAAUUUAAGCAUAUCAAUAAGCGGAGGA
rnacentral:misc_RNA from 1 species